rnacentral:rRNA from 1 species
UACGGAGGGAGCUAGCGUUGUUCGGAAUUACUGGGCGUAAAGCGCACGUAGGCGGCUUUGUAAGUUAGAGGUGAAAGCCCGGAGCUCAACUCCGGAACUGCCUUUAAAACUGCAUCGCUUGAAUCCAGGAGAGGUGAGUGGAAUUCCGAGUGUAGAGGUGAAAUUCGUAGAUAUUCGGAAGAACACCAGUGGCGAAGGCGACUUACUGGACACAUAUUGACGCUGAGGUGCGAAAGCGUGGGGAGCAAACAGG